rnacentral:rRNA from 1 species
GACGAACGCUGGCGGCGUGCUUAACACAUGCAAGUCGUACGGUAAGGCCCUUUCGGGGGUACACGAGUGGCGAACGGGUGAGUAACACGUGAGUAACCUGCCCACAACUUUGGGAUAACGCUAGGAAACUGGUGCUAAUACUGGAUAUGUGCUCCUGCUGCAUGGUGGGGGUUGGAAAGCUCCGGCGGUUGUGGAUGGACUCGCAGCCUAUCAGCUUGUUGGUGGGGUAGUGGCCUACCAAGGCGGCGACGGGUAGCCGGCCUGAGAGGGUGACCGGCCACAUUGGGACUGAGAUACGGCCCAGACUCCUACGGGAGGCAGCAGUGGGGAAUAUUGCACAAUGGGCGCAAGCCUGAUGCAGCAACGCCGCGUGCGGGAUGACGGCCUUCGGGUUGUAAACCGCUUUCAGCAGGGACGAAGCUUUUUGUGACGGUACCUGCAGAAGAAGCACCGGCUAACUACGUG